rnacentral:rRNA from 1 species
UACGGAGGGUGCAAGCAUUAAUCGGAUUUAUUGGGCGUAAAGGGCGCGUAGGCGGUUGUGAAAGUCAGAUGUGAAAUCCCGGGGCUCACCCCCGGAACAGCAUUUGAAACUCCAUGACUAGAGGGUAGGCGGAGAAAACGGAAUUCCACAAGUAGCGGUGAAAUGCGUAGAUAUGUGGAAGAACACCAGUGGCGAAGGCGGUUUUCUAGCUUAUUCCUGACGCUGAGGCGCGAAAGCAAGGGGAUCAAACAGG